rnacentral:rRNA from 1 species
AUUGAACGCUGGCGGCAGGCCUAACACAUGCAAGUCGAACGGUAACAGGAAGCAGCUUGCUGCUUUGCUGACGAGUGGCGGACGGGUGAGUAAUGUCUGUGAAACUGCCCGAUGGAGGGGGAUAACUACUGGAAACGGUAGCUAAUACCGCAUAACUUCGCAAGAGCAAAGAGGGGGACCUUAGGGCCUCUUUCCAGCGGAUGUGCCCAGAUGGGAUUAGCUAGUAGGUGGGGUAACGGCUCACCUAGGCGACGAUCCCUAGCUGGUCUGAGAGGAUGACCAGCCACACUGGAACUGAGACACGGUCCAGACUCCUACGGGAGGCAGCAGUGGGGAAUAUUGCACAAUGGGCGCAAGCCUGAUGCAGCCAUGCCGCGUGUAUGAAGAAGGCCUUCGGGUUGUAAAGUACUUUCAGCGGGGAGGAAGGGAGUAAAGUUAAUACCUUUGCUCAUUGACGUUACCCGAAGAAGAAGCACCGGCUAACUACGUG